CUGGCGCUGUCAGUGGCCCUUGGGCCUCUAACCGAGGGGGAGUGUCUUAAUGUCCCAUAUUGGUCUGCUUCCCUGGUAUCUAGGAAGAUAAUGAGACAAUACUGUACUGAAGCUAUGACACCAUGCUGGGUGGGUAGGCUGGUUGGGGUGCGGUAACGACCGAUAAUGAGAGACAAACUCUUGCAGGCAUGGGGGUAGUGGCGGUGGGUGGAUGGCGUUUGGAGGCAACCGCAGCAGGAGGUUCAACAUGAGCCGUGAGGAAGGUGGAGGAAAUGAAGACCAAGAGAAAGGAAAGGAUGGAACAAAGAGCAGAAGCAAAAUGUGGCGGACAAGACUCAGAAAAAAAAAGAAAAAAGAAAGGAAACACAACUCGCAACAGAUUAAUGAAGACAGAGAACAGCUGGACAUCUGGAUGAUGUUUUGGGACACGUGCACACCCUCAAACACAGGAAUGCGGGGCAGCCGAGUUACAUUAAUUCCUCGACCGCCCCCCGCCCCCGGGAGAGUAAUGUAUUGAUUGGGUCUUGGUGCGGUUUGUCACAGGUGAUCACUGUGAUUGGGACACAGCUCAAGCGUGUUAUCCAGCUCAGCCCCGGAGGACAGCACCAUGAGGACUUAAACAGCACAAACUGACUGGCACUAAUGGAGAGUACCACUCUUAUUAUAUGAGUCACUUGUCUGCACUGUCAAGCGGAGCGAGAAAUGACUGACACGCUGAGAGGCCGCAUAUCAAAUGAGUGCAUUUAGGCUAGUGGACGGUAAGUAGUUGUGUCAGUUUAGAGGCAUUGCACAUGAAACCUGACCUUGGCCCGGAGUCAAAGUGAAAGACUGCACUCAAAAGUCUUUCAUUUGCGCAACUGUGACGUGCUGCUUUCCCCUCCGUGCUCACCUGUAUUCUUGCCCUGAAGUCCCCAAACCUAUACUACCGGAGUGGAACCUACUAGACUAACACCCAUGGCAGUGCUUGUUUCACUACCUCGCUUUUCUCUCAAGGACACUAGUUUUGUUGACUAAAAAGCAAACAAA